AGGUAGUGACAAGAAAUAGCAGCACGGGGUUUUACCUUGUGAUUGCAAUGAGUUGAUGUUAAAUCUCUCUUCGAGUAACAAUUGGAGGGCAAGUCUGGUGCCAGCAGCCGCGGUAAUUCCAGCUCCAAUAGCGUAUAUUAAAGUUGUUGCAGUUAAAAAGCUCGUAGUUGGAUUUCUGUCUUUUGACGGCCCGUGGAGCUUUCCAUUGAGGUAGUCGGGGACAUUUUCUAGGCAGGCUGUGAAAACAGAAUGUCCUAGAGCCUUUACUUUGAGAAAAUUAGAGUGUUUCAAGCAAGCGUUUGCUUUGAGUACUACAGCAUGGAAUAAUAUUAUAGGACUUCUAUCCUAUUUGUUGGUUUAAGGACUGAAGUAAUGAUUAAUAGAAACA
rnacentral:rRNA from 1 species